ensembl:snRNA U4 U4 spliceosomal RNA
AUCUUUGCGCAGUGGCAGUAUCGUAGCCUAUGAGGUUUAUCCGAGGCGCGAUUAUUGCUAGUUGAAAACUUUACCCAAUACCCCGCCAAGACGACUUGAAAUAUAGUUGGCUUUGGCAAUUUUUGAUGGUCUCUCAGGAGA